AACGAACGCUGGCGGCGCGUUUUAAGCAUGCAAGUCGGACGGCAGCAGUAGCAAUACUGCGAGAGUGGCGAACGGGUGAGUAACACGUAGGUGAUCUACCCUUGGAUGGGGAUAGCUCAUGGAAACAUGGGGUAAUACCGCAUAAGGCCUGACUACUUUGGUGGACAGGUGAAAAGUGCAAUUGCACUGUCUGGGGAUGAGCCUGCGGUUCAUUAGCUAGUUGGUGGGGUAAUGGCCCACCAAGGCGACGAUGGAUAGCCGGCCUGAGAGGGGGUACGGCCACACUGGGACUGAGACACGGCCCAGACUCCUACGGGAGGCAGUAGCUAAGAAUCUUCCGCAAUGGGCGAAAGCCUGACGGAGCGACGCCGCGUGUAUGAUGAAGGCCGAAAGGUUGUAAAGUACUUUUCUUGGGGAAGAAUUAAUGAGGGAGUGGAAAGCCCUCAAGAUGACAUUAACCGAGGAAUAAGCCCCGGCCAAUUACGUGCCAGCCGCCGCAGUAAAAC
rnacentral:rRNA from 1 species